rnacentral:lncRNA from 1 species
CACAAAUGGAAAUAUAAAGAGGUAUGGUUGUAUAUUUCCCUCUUAAAAACUCUUCACUAGUUUUUGUAGUACAUAUAAAAGUACAGGUGCCCAGUUUGGAGUCUUUCUGUUAGUCUUAUUUCUAAAUAGGAAAAUAAUUUCCUUGCAGUCAGAAAUUAAUCCAUAUCUCAUAAUGUGGAGCACAAAAUUAGGGACUUAAAUGUUAGUGAAUUGAUUGAAAAGGCAAGAUGUCUAGGA